rnacentral:rRNA from 1 species
GGUGGUGGUGCAUGGCCGUUCUUAGUUGGUGGAGUGAUUUGUCUGCUUAAUUGCGAUAACGAACGAGACCUUAACCUACUAAAUAGUGGUGCUAGCAUUUGCUGGUUAUCCACUUCUUAGAGGGACUAUCGGUUUCAAGCCGAUGGAAGUUUGAGGCAAUAACAGGUCUGUGAUGCCCUUAGACGUUCUGGGCCGCACGCGCGCUACACUGACGGAGCCAGCGAGUCUAACCUUGGCCGAGAGGUCUUGGUAAUCUUGUGAAACUCCGUCGUGCUGGGGAUAGAGCAUUGUAAUUAUUGCUCUUCAACGAGGAAUUCCUAGUAAGCGCAAGUCAUCAGCUUGCGUUGAUUACGUCCCUGCCCUUUGUACACACCGCCCGUCGCUAGUACCGAUUGAAUGGCUUAGUGAGGCCUCAGGAUCUGCUUAGAGAAGGGGGCAACUCCAUCUCAGAGCGGAGAAUUUGGACAAACUUGGUCAUUUAGAGGAACUAAAAGUCGUAACAAGGUUUCCGUAGGUGAACCUGCGGAAGGAUCAUUAAAGAA